rnacentral:SRP_RNA from 1 species
UUUUUAGACCUAUGCAAUGGGUGCUUUAGGUAAUGCUUCAGGGUGGGAACACAGCAGAGCCCCUAAUGUAUUUGUGUGCCAUAGCCAUCUGGAAAGGG